CAUUUUUUCACAUACAUUCUCUUUGUCUUAUCCAAUCUGAACAUGGGCAUGGUACCACUGCUUAUCAGUGAAUAGUUUUGCUUCUUCACAUGUUGAAGUUUGAACAUUGGAGAAGCACCCUGAGGCAAGCAUAAAAAGCAGGGUUUAUUUAAAAAGGUGUUACAUAGACUUCUCCCAGGAGGGGCCAUAGGUGGUAUCCCAAGAAGCACUGUGUACUGCAUUUUUAUAAGUCCUCUCCUUCCUGCAUACUGUUGAGGCCCAGGAAUGCUUGGUGGGAGUGGGAACCAGGUGGGCUGAGUGAGAACAGGAUGGUGCAGCCAUAGACACAUUAAUUAACAACUUUAUAGCUCUCUGUAGAGAGCUGCAAUUCCUGGGACAGGUUACCUUAGCUACAGACUGGAACAGGGGCAGGUUCUUGAUAAGAGUGGAGGAAGGGCUCUGAAGGAAUUUACAUUUCAGUCCCUCAGGGGACAGUCUCAGACUUCCCGGACUCACUCAAAAUUGGCCUGACUGGAUCUAACCUGACUCUAUUUACCUAUCUAUACCGACUUGUCUAAUUCUGGCUUCAUUGACCCCUCUAAUUUUAGGAACUUCUUACUCCUCUAAGGAAAUAGGACAGCGAACUGGAAAGGGGUGGUUUGGGGCAAGCAAUUUUGGAGUUCCCUUUUAGAAGUCAGGUUGGAUUGAAGUCUGGUUGGGGAAGAAUAGAUAGUCAUCUGGGGGUGGGUGCUUCUAUGAGAGAAACAAAAAACAUGAGUACUGAGUAAAUGUUGCAGCAUCUGGGACAUGUCAGUGAAGAUGAUAGCAAUUAAUACUCUCUCACCAGGAGGUGUGAGGGCUGAGAAGUUGUCCCCAUAACAAGGCCAGAGUAGACAAGACUUUUAUUUGGGGAUGUAAAUCUUUUAACAACCCCAGAGUUAUCAGGAAUGUAAACACAGCAAUUAACUCUUCUUUUUUUAAAUAUUUAUUUUUUAGUUGUAGUUGGACACAAUACCUUUAUUUAUUUUUAUGUGGUGCUGAGGAUUGAAUCCAAGGCCUCACACUUACUAGGUGAGGGCUCUACUGCUGAGCUACAGCCCUGGCCCCACAACAUUUAACUCUUAAUGUUACAAAUCCCCAUUCCCAUAAGAUGUAGUUAAGCUACUUAAUGUCAUCAGAGCUUGUAAAAUCUAUUUACAUAGAGAAUCCUUUAUUUCUGUUACUUAGGGCUGGAUUGUCAUACUAGCCAACAUCAAGCCUACCUGUGUAGGUUAGGAAUAUCUGUAGGCCUUAACCUAACUAAAAAAUUGAGUUCACUUACUUGCUAUAAAAUUCAUUACAAGGUACAUAUUUCUUUUUAUGUAAUAACCACCCCAAUCAGAUUAUAGAACAUUGCCAUCACUCCUCUUUCCCCAGAAUUUUAUCAUGCCAGAUGUAGAUAACUUUUUAAGAAAUGAAUGAACAGUUUUUCUUUUUCUUUGUUUGGAACUGGGUAUUGAACCCAGGGGUGUUUAACCACUGAGCCACAUCUCUAGUCCUUUUUAUUUUUUGAGAGGGGGACUCUCUGAGUUGCUUAGAGCCUUGCUAAAUUGCUGAGGCCAGUCGGAGACUGUCUCCUGAGGGACUGAAAUGUAAAUUCCUUCAUCCUGCCUCAGCCUCUGGAGUCACAGGGAUUACAGAUGUGAGUCACCACACCCAGCAAGUGAACUGUUUUAAAAAGUGACAGUUUUAUUAUUUAGCCAGCAGUAUGUGAGGGUUACAUUCCUCCACAUCAUCUUCUUUUAUGGUACUGGGUUUUGAAACCAGUGACCCCUUUACCAUUGAGGCUGGUCUGAAGCUUGUGAUUCUACAGCCUCAGCCUCCCAACUCACUGUAAUUACAGGCAUGCUCCACGGUGUCUGGCUUCCCCUGUAUCAUUUACAGUGCUUCUUAGUAGUCUACUGUUUUGAGUAUGACCAUUCUAGUGGAUAUAAUGUGGUAUCUCACACUGUUCAUAUCCAAAU
rnacentral:lncRNA from 1 species